UACGUAGGGGGCAAGCGUUGUCCGGAAUCAUUGGGCGUAAAGAGCGUGUAGGCGGCCCGAUAAGUCUGCUGUGAAAGUCCAGGGCUCAACCCUGGGAGGCCGGUGGAUACUGUCGGGCUCGAGUACGGAAGAGGAGUGUGGAAUUCCUGGUGUAGCGGUGAAAUGCGCAGAUAUCAGGAGGAACACCAAUGGCGAAGGCAGCACUCUGGGACGUGACUGACGCUGAGACGCGAAAGCGUGGGGAGCAAACAGG
rnacentral:rRNA from 1 species